rnacentral:rRNA from 1 species
CCUACGGGGAGCUGCAGUGAGGAAUAUUGGUCAAUGGGCGAGAGUCUGAACCAGCAAAGCAGCGUGAAGGAUGACUGCCCUAUGGGUUGUAAACUUCUUUUAUAUGGAAAUAAAAUGUUCCACGUGUGGGAUUUUGUCUGUACCAUAUGAAUAAGCAUCGGCUAACUCCGUUCCAUCAGCCGCGGUAAUACGGCGGAUCCGAUCGUUAUCCGGAUUUAUUGGGUUUAAAGGGAGCGUAGGUGGAUUGUUAAGUCAGUUGUGAAAGUUUGCGGCUCAACCGUAAAAUUGCAGUUGAAACUGGCAGUCUUGAGUACAGUAGAGGUGGGCGGAAUUCGUGGUGUAGCGGUGAAAUGCUUAGAUAUCACGAAGAACUCCGAUUGCGAAGGCAGUUCACUGGACUGCAACUGACACUGAGGCUCGAAAGUGUGGGUAUCAAACAGGAUUAGAUACCCGGGUAGUC